CUGCUCUGUCUCAGCCGCUCCUAGUGACCACUGCGGCCUGACUGGUUUCUUUCUGUCUUCUCGGCCCACACCCUGCUUGCUUCACACACAUUCUGCAAGUGCACAUCCUCUGUGCUGUGAGCAGGGUUGGAGCAGGCACCCAGGGGCCGGCCUCCCCUGCUGUCAUUCACUCUCCCUUCCCCUGCAGGCCCCAGGCCCCGGGGCAUCCAUGCAGACUGGCCUGUGUGUGGAGCUCUGCUGUGCUUCUCCUAGUACGGGACAGGCCCAGCAAGCCUAGCUCUGCAGAGAGCACGGGAGCCACAGUGGGAUGCUAAAGAAGCAAAAAGACAGCCUCUGGGGGGCUGAGGGAGGGGCCUGCAGCAAGAGUGGAAGAAGGCCAGGCUGGGCCCCCCGAUGUACAGGCAUCUAGGUCUAGAGGACCGGGGCAGCAGAACAAUUGAGCAGGGAAACAGAGCAUGCAGUUCACGGGAGUGCGGCUAUGCUCAGCCACAGUGAACGCACCUGACUGGUGGCUCAAAGCGGCCCUGAAAGAUGGAGGAGCAACAUCCACAAGGGUUUGGUCCCCAGCACUGAAACAACGCUGAGCUGAGAUCCUGGAUGCCAACAACAUGGAAGACAGCGAGGAGAUGGUGAGAAGGCCAGCCUCACCAGACUCCAACCGUGCUGACUGUGAGCUGGACAUCGUGGGAGCCGUGAGGACACACACUGUUGUACCUACUCAGCCCACCCCACUGAGAGCAGCAGAGUGCACUAGAGUAUUUAUUAUAAACAUUGGUUCUUGACAGCCUCAGGACAGGAGGCAAGUUCCGCUUCAGAAACAAGGCCCGGAGUCACAGAACAGAGGCAGGACUCAAACCUAGUGACCCAGGCGGGAGUCUCAACCUCUGAAUAAUGAUGCCACUAUCAUCUGUGCCUGAGCAGCGGGCACUGGGUACUGUCUAUGCCUUAUCAAAAGUGUCUGACACUGAUUAGGGGUACACCAGUGUCUGUGGAAUGAUUUUUUAAAUGGCAUGUUAAGAGAACAGCUGCAGCUAACUGAACAAUGAGAUAGUACCUGUGCUACUGUCAAGCGGGGUGUCGAUGGGAAGCUGGUGGUGGGAGAGCCGUGGGAUCCAGGUGUGGCCAGAGCGGCCAGGGGAGCUAUAUGUGCAGCUUGCUCUGCACCAGGGGACAUUUGUAUGUAGUGUGAUUAGAGGCAUAAGGAACGCCCACUAUUCAAGGGCUGCUUUGGAGGGCCCUUCCGGAAAGUCCAUUUACUUUCUGUAAACCUUAAUGCCCAGAAAGGCCUGGUUUUAAAGGAGAUUCUGAGGGAGAGAGGAAUACCUGAGAGGAUGGAGAACAUGUGAGGGGUAGACAUCCCCCAGCAGCAAGGCUGAGUAAUGGUCUCACCAAUGCCAGCAAGGACCCCACCGCUGGUCACCGCUGGUCACAGCAGGACCCAUGGGGUUUGCAACAUGACAUUGAUGGAUAGGCCCCAAGGGUGGACGGGGAUGAGUGGACCCUGGUUCUCUAAACUUCUCAGUGUAUGCUACAAGUGCCGCACAGACUUGCAGUGCUCUCUAGGCUGGCUGCUGGCUAGGCGCUUGGCAGCAUGAUAGGGGUCUUGGGGUGGGGACUGGAAGUCAUCCAUUUAUUAAGGGCUUAACCUGUAUAGGCACUGUGUUAAACACGGGACGUGCGUCAUCUCAUUUAAUCCCUCCCAAAGCUGUCAUGAGGGCCUGCCAUUACCUUCCCUUUAUAGUGGAGGACGUUGCAGAAGCUCUUAUCAAGUAACUUCUCAAGGCUGAGAAAUGGCAUGCCCAGAGAAUAUGCUCUCCAGAGCCGCUUCCAACCACCCUUCCAUUCGUCUGCACUUGAUGCUGUCUUUGCCUUGUGCAGGGCAUGGCUCAGGGCCUGGUGAGUCACAGGGAAAAGCACUUGCAUCUGCGCCUGGGGUUGGACUCUGACCUGCAGCCAUGGCCCUGAAGUGACCGCGUACCUCUCUUUCUCUGCCUUUCUCUGCUGGGUGUUGCUCCUUCCUGACCUCAGCUUCCACCUGGCCAGAAGGCAAAUGCUUCCAGGCAGGUGCCAGGCUGUCAGAGGGGCCCUCUCCUGGUGUGUGGAGAGCUUGUGUAGUUUCUGAUUUCCAAGGCUGCCUUCCCUUUUCAGUUAGGGUACUAAGCCCAGGCCCUUGCAUGCUGGGCAAGUCCUCUCCCCUGAGCGCCACAUCAGCCCCUCAGGACACAGUCUUCUCAGGUGGAGUGCCUGGGAAGAUCAUUGCUCUGUAGAUAUAUUCCUGGGUGCUCUUUCUGUCGACUAAAAGGGAAAGGUUCCUGCUCUGUGUGCACCCCAGCUCCACCCCAGCAAGGUGAAGGUUGCAUUCACCCUGGGGUGGCCACUGGGGGAGUGGCUCUGAUUUGUCCCUGUCCCAAUCAGAUCUAUAGGGGUGGGAAGGUCCCAUUUUAACUUUACAGUGUAUUACUCUCUCAAGGUUUCUAACUGUCUCUCCCCAAAUGGCUGAAUCAAUGCUGUGUAUUGGGAUAAUGCAACAUUUCAAAGUCAAACUCCAACUGCAGCCACAGCUCUCUCUCGGAUACAAACACCACCGCCAUCCAGGAGCAACAAACCAGCAAACCAAGCCUUUGCUACAGAGAAAAGGAACAACAGCCUAGCUAGCGGGCCACAGCUCAGCGCGGAGGUCUGCAUGGCUCCGAAGCCCGUUCUUUCUUAAGAAGCUCCAGUCAGGUUCACAGCAGCAGUUUCUCCCUCCUUAACUUUACAUCUCUUUACGCUUUGGUUGUAAUGUCCUGGGGGAUUUAUUUUGCAUCCGUUUGAGAGAUUUUUUUUUUCAUCUUUCUUUGCUGUUUUCUGCUUACAUUUCUGUCUCUCUCCACGCUUCUGCUCACAGCUCCUCCACAAUUAGCACCGCUGGGCACAGUGGUGUCUGUUUUCUGUUCACAACCUUAAUGAAGGUGCUAAACAACACUGGAUGGAACCCCACAGCACCCACGCUCUCCUCUGGACUGCUAUCGCAGUGGCCUGUCAGGGACAAGCUACAUGGAACUUAUUCAAACCCAAGCUGCUCAAAACCCUGGGUUCUGUCCACCACUGGCCAGAGUCUGAGACUUGUCAGGAAGCCUGUCUCGUCCUAGUCCCUGCCACCUGACAGUAUUUAAAACAGUCCACAUACACAUACACCAGGACAGAGAUAAUAAAAAACACUUCCAAGGGAACAGACAGAUAGGACUUUUACUGGGCCCAGGAUAAAGGAUGCCACUUUUGAGCAAGAUAGGGAACUAAGAACAAAAUAAGUUUGCUAGAAACUCAGGGGUUCCUGGCAGUCUCUUGUUGAAUUUCUCCUUUGUGAGACAGGUUCUCACUAUGCAGCCCAGGCUGACUUCAACUUGUGACCCUCUGGACUCAGACUCCCAGGCUCUGGUAGCGUAUGGUCUUGCCAACCUACCCUACAUAGUGAAGUGAGAGCUCUUUCUUCUUUGGAGACUUAUGAUCUGGGGAGGGAGGAGAUAGGCAGCAAACAGAUAAUUCUCAUGGAUGGUGCCACCCCACCACAGCACAGUCUAGGAAAGCUAAGGACCCUGAAGCUUUAUAGGCAGAUACAUCUUCCAAGUAACUUAGGCUUUGGUGAGGGGAAGAAAUCAUUACCUGUUCUGGACCAGACUCCCUAUGGGCACGGAUCAAGAUGCAGCUAUGGAAGUGGGUGCCACACACACCGAGCCUGGUGUGCCAGGGCUGAUGGUGACUCACUCACUAGUCACUAAUAACAUCCCUCAAGUUCCAGCUCCCCCUCUCCCCCGGAGCUUGCCUGGACCUCCCCACCCUUAGGAGGGAGACGAGGAUUUAGGCAGUGAGUCCAGGCUCAUGCUUGUUUGGGAGGCUGUGGUGGAGAUGCAUCAGGCCAGGUUGGCAGGCAGCUGAGAGGUGAGCCGGCCAGGCGGACUCUGUGGGCAGUGAGACUCCUCGAGUGAGGAUCUCGAGCAGAGGAGAUGGGGGUGCUUAGACCGGUGCUCACCGCUGUCUGGGUUCUUGGCUGUCUUAUGUUCUUCCCCGGCUUCCAUUCCCUUUCAAAUAAAGCUCUAUGGGAGAAGA